rnacentral:piRNA from 5 species
AUGGUUAGCACUCUGGACUCUGAAUCCAGC